rnacentral:rRNA from 1 species
UUGCCCUACGGGAGGCAGCAGUGGGGAAUAUUGCACAAUGGGGGGAACCCUGAUGCAGCGACGCCGCGUGAGUGAAGAAGUAUUUCGGUAUGUAAAGCUCUAUCAGCAGGGAAGAAAAUGACGGUACCUGAGUAAGAAGCCCCGGCUAACUACGUGCCAGCAGCCGCGGUAAUACGUAGGGGGCAAGCGUUAUCCGGAUUUACUGGGUGUAAAGGGAGCGUAGACGGCCAGACAAGUCUGAAGUGAAAAUC